GCGUGAGUGAUGAAGGCCUUCGGGUUGUAAAACUCUUUCGACGGGGACGAUAAUGACGGUACCCGUAGAAGAAGCUCCGGCUAACUUCGUGCCAGCAGCCGCGGUAAUACGAAGGGGGCUAGCGUUGUUCGGAAUUACUGGGCGUAAAGCGCACGUAGGCGGCUUUGUAAGUUAGAGGUGAAAGCCCAGGGCUCAACUCCGGAACUGCCAUUGAAACUGUAAAACUUGAGGAUGAGAGAGGUGAGUGGAAUUCCCAGUGUAGAGGUGAAAUUCGU
rnacentral:rRNA from 1 species